UGGGGAAUAUUGCGCAAUGGGCGAAAGCCUGACGCAGCGACGCCGCGUGGGUGAUGAAGGCUUUCGGGUCGUAAAACUCUGUCGGGUGGAACGAAUCUCCGUCUUGCCAAUACCGAGGCGGAAUGACGGUACCACCGAAGGAAGCCCCGGCUAACUACGUGCCAGCAGCCGCGGUAAUACGUAGGGGGCGAGCGUUGUUCGGAUUUACUGGGCGUAAAGAGCGUGUAGGCGGUUCGAUGAGUCGGAGGUGAAAUCCCUCGGCUUAACCGAGGUCCCGCGUCCGAUACUGUCGAACUUGAGUGCAGGAGAGGAGAGCGGAAUUCCCAAUGUAGCGGUGAAAUGCGUAGAUAUUGGGAGGAACACCGGUGGCGAAGGCGGCUCUCUGGACUGCUACUGACGCUGAGGCGCGAAAGCUAGGGGAGCAAACGGGAUUAGAUACCCCGGUAGUCCUAGCCGUAAACGAUGGGCACUAGGUGUGGGAGGUAUCGACCCCUUCCGUGCCGCAGCUAACGCAUUAAGUGCCCCGCCUGGGGAGUACGGCCGCAAGGUUG
rnacentral:rRNA from 1 species